GCUCUCUUUGGCUGUUGGCCCUCCCAGGCAGAGUCCACUGGCUGUUAGGGUGAAAUGGGGCUGAUGCUUCCUGGAAUCCACCAGAAGUAUGCAAAUUGCACCAUCUCUUUCAGCUGCCUGCGCCUGCAUUCCAUCGAGGAUUCCGGGUGGAACUAAUCAAAAGAUACAUCUUUCUAAGAAGAGGAGAGGACACAGAGAGACACACAGAGAAGGUGAUGACAAUGAUGAGAAGACGGAGGCGGAGAUUGGAGUGAUGAUGCAUCUACAAGCCAGGGAACAUCAAGGACUGCCAGCAACCACCAGAAGCCAGGAGAGAGGCAUGAGACAGUUCUUCCUCCUAUCCUUCAGAAGAAAUCAACUCUACUGACACCAUGAUUUUGGAUUUUGGCCUCCUAAAAUGAGGCUGAGUGACUUGGGCAAUGAUUCAGCAAUACCAACUGUGAACUCUCAAUGACUUGGGCUAAUGAGAAGAAUGACAUGGAUAAUCUAAAAAUAAUGGACAACUGGAAAAAACAUCAGCCUGCUUGUGGAGCACACCAGGUCAUGAUUUCUGCAGUGGGGGAGGAGCUGAUUUGCUUCAUUCAUUCUAGAACCUCUAUUCUAGCUGAUGUUAAAUCUGGUUGUUUUUGAGAGCACUCAUAGCCAUCAUGCCCAUCUCUGUAUCACAGGGGUUUGGGAAAAGAAACUCUUCUGGCCAAGGAUGGAAGAAUAAAAACAUAACUGAGUUCCAGA
rnacentral:lncRNA from 1 species